CGAGCGUAGGUAGAGGCUCUGAUCACCCCUUGAUUUAUAUGAUAAAAUUGUUUUUUUUUUUAAGAAAAGGACUAGGCUUUUAUUACUCAAAUUAAAACCAAACAUCAAAACAAGCCAGAAGUCCAAAACCGGGCCCAGACAAAAGAAAACUAAGCCAGCCUAUCGUCUCGAGCAGUGUGUACCCGUCCUAUCCCCUCAUCUUUCAAUUCAAAACCAACGGUUUCAUUUCCCACAGAAAACUUUCCAUUUUCCAUCCCCGUUACAGACCAUCAUUUCUCUCAAAAACACAUUUCUAAGCUUUCUUUAUCCUAGAGACCGAAAAGCUUUUACCAUCUUCCUCCUCAAUCGGCCUGGAGUCCAUUCUUCUUCCAUUAUCCUCACAACGAAUCUUGGUACCUUCUCAUCCAGGUAAAACUCUUCACCAUUUCUCAAACUUUCAGUAGCUAUUACAUGAGCAAGUUGAUUAGCCGAGCGUCUUGCAUGUUUGAUUCGUCGAGACCGGAAACAGUUGAUAUUUCGUUUUAUAUUCCGGAUAUAAGCACUUAUUUCUUAUUUGUCUUGUGAAUCUGAGUUGGAUUUCUUUAUAACUGAUAAAGAGUCUCCUAUAAUCAUAUCUGUGAAACCCAAAUCUAACCUCAUUUGUACUGCCCAUAAACGGCAAGAGCUUCCGCUGCGAAAGCCGACCCAAUAUUUGCAUGUAUGACCGAUCUAGAGGCAACCACCUUUUCUAGGACGUUUUUUGGCACCAUCCCCGACCUCGACCUAGAAUGUGUCCAAUCAAAAUCUGCAUCGAAGUUUAUUUUAAUACAAACCCCCGAAGGAGGUUCUUGUUUCGCGCUAAUAACUCUCCUGGUAGGCCCUCGUUCUUCGAUGCCUUCUAGUUCUUUAAUGUAACUUUGAAUGAAAUUGGCUACCUCUCUACCCAAUUUUGCUGAGUUCUCAUGCACACGCUUAUUCCUUUCAAUCUACAAGGCCCAAAUGGCACAACAAAAAACCCUCCGUUGAAGAACAGAACUUACACUGAAUACCCAGGUAAGCCAUUCAAACGUUUCUUGAGUUGUAUUUGACAUUAUCCACGAGUACUCUAGUAAUUUCCAAACAUCCUUUAAAGCAAGGAAACUUCAGAAAACAUGAUUCGUCAUUUCCCCCGCUCUUGGGCACAUCGCAUUCGCCACUAGUCGCUUGUAAUACAUAUUAAAUAAAGUAGGGAUAAAAUUUUAAGAUAUUCGCCAUAUCGUAAUUUUAAUUUUAGAAGGAAGAUUUAGGCUUCAUAGCUUCCUAUAGAAUCCUUUAGAUGUGGUAUGUAUUUCAUUGAAAGUAGGAGUAGGAAUACCAUAUUGUAAUAGUUUGUAGGUGCUCCGAACGGAGAACUCUCAUGAUGGUUUGCAUCUCCACACCAUCACAUCCUCGUGUGUUUCUUUCGCCAACGGGAUUCGAAGUAUAUUGGCCGCAUGAACAUUCGGUAAUAACUCGCGCCGCCAUUCUCUAUUAGCAUUAUCAAUUAAAUCAACAACUGCCAAUAUGUUAUUAUCACGAACCAUACUGCUCAAUUUAUAAUCAACCGAACUAGGAAUCCAUGCAUGAUUAAAAAUAGAAAAUUUUUCUUCUGUUCCCACUCUCCAACACAACCUAUUUUGAAGAUACUUCUAUGUCGAUCAAAUACUCUUCCAAGUAUAUGAUGCCCCAUGCUUUAAACUUGCAUUUAAAAAUUUGAUUUGAGGAUAAUACUUUGCUUUUAAAACUUAGGCUAAUAAAGAAUCAGGAUGAUUAAUAAGUUUCCACCAUUGUUUUGUUAAAAAAGCCACAUUAAAUUUUUCGAAACUCCUAAAGCCCAUGCCCCCAUUCUCUUUCAGCUCACAAAGUUUCCCCCAUUCACACCAAUGCAAUUCUCGCCUCUCAUGAGCUUUUAGCCACUAAAAUCCAGCCACUAUGCUCUCCAAUUUCCCACACAAAGAUUUUGGAAAAAGUAAGCAAGCCAUUGCAUAAGUUGGUAUGGCUUGAAGCAUUGAUUUUAUGAAUAACUCCUUACCCCCUAGUGAAAGAAAUUUAGAGCGCCAACUAUCAAUCUUCUUCUUCAUUUGAUCCUUUAAACUAAGAGAAUUAUAGGAAAAAUAAGAGAGCAAAGCAAACAAAAAUGAAAGGAUAAUUUAGUUUUUUUUCUUAGAAUACAAUAGGUUUAUACAUGCCCUCUAUUAUGGUCUCAAUCACCAUAGAUUACAAAAACAUAAAUAAAAGAAUUAAGGCAUCCUGUAAAAUUUUUAAGGGUUAUUAGAGAAUAACUUCUUGGGGAUUGGGAGUUGUAUGAACAUCCAUUCAUUAAAGGAUUUACAACACUCUGCCUUAAAUGUCCAUCAACGACAAUAUGCCUUAUUAAAACAUUUUUUCAUGAAAAAAUUUGUAGGAUAAAAACUAAUGAAGGAAAAAGAGUAUAGAAUCUUCUAUUAUAAGUUGCCUCAUUAAAAACUUUUAUUAGGAAAACACAACGAAACAAAAUCUUGGUUAAAUAAAAAUAGUACACACCAUGUUUUAGAUUAUCGCUAAUGGCAACAUCACAUUAAUCUCCUAUUAUAAGGAACCUCAUUAAUAAUUUUUACUAGGAAAACUUAAAGGGAUAAAUUUUGGUUAAAGGAAAAGAGUAUAAUUUAUUUUAGACUCACUAAUGCCAACAUCACAUUACAUUUUUUAGCCGACUCAUUUCAAUCUUGUAUACUAGUAUUUCAAAUGUUGUAGUUGGAAAUGCCUUAGUAAAAAGAUUUGUCAAAUUAUCACUUGAACGAGUUUGUUAAAUUUCUAUAUCACAUUUCAGCUCAAGACUAUGAGUGAAGAAUAAUUUUGGUGAAAUAUGUUUCGUUUUGUCACUUUUCAUGUAACCACCAUUUAAUUGAGUUAUACAUGUUGCAUUAUCUCCAUGUAAGAUAGUUGACAUAUGUUCUUGUAG
rnacentral:lncRNA from 1 species